GAUGAACGCUGGCGGCGUGCCUAAUACAUGCAAGUCGAGCGGUAAGGCCUCUUCGGAGGUACACGAGCGGCGGACGGGUGAGUAACGCGUAAGAACAUACCCCAAACUGAGGGAUAACUGCUCGAAAGAGUAGCUAAUACCGCAUGUGCUCUAAGGAGUAAAGCUUCGGCGGUUUGGGAAUGGCUUGCGUCUGAUUAGCUAGUUGGUAAGGUAAUGGCUUACCAAGGCGACGAUCGGUAGCUGGUUUGAGAGGAUGAUCAGCCACACUGGGACUGAGACACGGCCCAGACUCCUACGGGAGGCAGCAGUAGGGAAUUUUCCACAAUGGGGGCAACCCUGAUGGAGCAACGCCGCGUGCAGGAUGAAGGCCUUCGGGUUGUAAACUGCUUUUGUCUGUGACGAAUAUGACGGUAGCAGACGAAUAAGGAUCGGCUAACUACGUG
rnacentral:rRNA from 1 species